GCUCGGCUAGCUCAAUUGAUAGGACAUGAGACUUGUAAUCUCAGGGUCGUGCGUUCGUGCCCCACGUUGGGCG